rnacentral:rRNA from 1 species
ACUCCUACGGGAGGCAGCAGUGGGGAAUCUUCCGCAAUGGACGAAAGUCUGACGGAGCAACGCCGCGUGAGUGAAGAAGGUUUUCGGAUCGUAAAGCUCUGUCUUCAAGGACGAAUGUAGAUAUUGUGAAUAAUGAUAUUUAAUGACGGUACUUGAGGAGGAAGCCACGGCUAACUACGUGCCAGCAGCCGCGGUAAUAC